rnacentral:rRNA from 1 species
GACGAACGCUGGCGGCGUGCCUAAUACAUGCAAGUUGAGCGCUGAAGGUUGGUACUUGUACCAACUGGAUGAGCAGCGAACGGGUGAGUAACGCGUGGGGAAUCUGCCUUUGAGCGGGGGACAACAUUUGGAAACGAAUGCUAAUACCGCAUAAAAACUUUAAACACAAGUUUUAAGUUUGAAAGAUGCAAUUGCAUCACUCAAAGAUGAUCCCGCGUUGUAUUAGCUAGUUGGUGAGGUAAAGGCUCACCAAGGCGAUGAUACAUAGCCGACCUGAGAGGGUGAUCGGCCACAGUGGGACUGGGACACGGCCCAAACUCCUACGGGAGGCAGCAGUAGGGAAUCUUCGGCAAGGGACGAAAGUCUGACCGAGCAACGCCGCGGGAGUGAAGAAGGUUUUCGGAUCGUAAAACUCUGUUGGUAGAGAAGAACGUUGGUGAGAGUGGAAAGCUCAUAAAGUGACGGUAACUACCCAGAAAGGGACGGCUAACUACGUG